rnacentral:rRNA from 1 species
GACGAACGCUGGCGGCGUGCUUAACACAUGCAAGUCGAGCGGUAAGGCCCUUUCGGGGGUACACGAGCGGCGAACGGGUGAGUAACACGUGGGUGACCUGCCCUUAGCUCUGGGAUAAGCCUGGGAAACUAGGUCUAAUACCGGAUAUGACUCCAUGACGCAUGUUGUGGGGUGGAAAGCCUUGUGCGGCUAGGGAUGGGCCCGCGGCCUAUCAGCUUGUUGGUGGGGUGAUGGCCUACCAAGGCGACGACGGGUAGCCGGCCUGAGAGGGCGACCGGCCACACUGGGGCUGAGACACGGCCCAGACUCCUACGGGAGGCAGCAGUGGGGAAUCUUGCGCAAUGGGCGAAAGCCUGACGCAGCGACGCCGCGUGAGGGAUGACGGCCUGG